rnacentral:lncRNA from 1 species
CUUGUUCACAGCAUAAACAUCUACAGCCCCACUCUGGAGGGAUUCUGUAGCUGUGGGAGGACUCCAGGCGCUGUAUGAAUUAUGAAAAAUAAUAACAGCAAACCUUUGCUUCUUCACAUGAAACCAGACAGCCUGACUUCCUCAUCAGUGAAGAGGAGUUGAAAGUAGUGAAAUGUAACACCCACUUUUGGGGAAUCUGAAUUUAAAAGAAACAAGCC